rnacentral:lncRNA from 1 species
UGAGAUUGUAUCCAAGAAUGGGAUGUUGAUCUGCAACUUCUUUAGAAUGUCUAGGAAUUUCCCAUACUUUUUUUCUAGCUUUGCAUGUGCCAAUCGUUAUGGGAAAGGUACAGGUGGCUUGUAAGGUUUAAUGACAAUGGGCUCUUUCUUCUCUUCAGUUUUCUCUUUUUCUAUCAUCUUCUUAGCUUCAACCAUCUCUUCCUCUACUACAACUACUUUCUUUCGAACUACCUUCGGUGGAAGGUCUUCUAGCUCUCUACCAUUCCUCAAAGUUACAGCAUCAAUUU